rnacentral:rRNA from 1 species
UCAGGACGAACGCUGGCGGCGCGCCUAACACAUGCAAGUCGAACGAAAGAGAGGAAGCUUGCUUCCUCAAACGAGUGGCGAACGGGUGAGUAGCGCGUGAGGAACCUGCCUCAUAGAGGGGGACAACAUGUUGGAAACGACUGCUAAUACCGCAUAAGCCCACAGGUCGGCAUCGACCAGAGGGAAAAGGAGUAAUCCGCUUUGAGAUGGCCUCGCGUCCGAUUAGCUAGUUGGCGAGGUAAUGGCCCACCAAGGCGACGAUCGGUAGCCGGACUGAGAGGUUGAACGGCCACAUUGGGACUGAGACACGGUCCAAACUCCUACGGGAGGCAACAGUGGGGAAUAUUUCACAAUGGGGGAAACCCUGAUGCAGCGACGCCGCGUGAAGGAAGAAGGUCUUCGGAUUGUAAACUCCUGUUGUUGAGGAAGAUAAUGACGGUACUCAACAAGGAAGUUCCGGCUAACUACGUGCCAGCAGCCGCGGUAAUACGUAGGUCACAAGCGUUGUCCGGAAUUACUGGGUGUAAAGGGAGCGCAGGCGGGAAGACAAGUCGGAAGUGAAAUCUAUGGGCUCAACCCAUAAACUGCAUUCAAAACUGUUUUUCUUGAGUAGUGCAGAGGUAGGCGGAAUUCCCGGUGUAGCGGUGGAAUGCGUAGAUAUCGGGAGGAACACCAGUGGCGAAGGCGGCCUACUGGGCACCAACUGACGCUGAGGCUCGAAAGUGUGGGUAGCAAACAGGAUUAGAUACCCUGGUAGUCCACACCGUAAACGAUGAUUAGUGGGUGUGGUAGGAUUCACUCCCUCCGUGCGGCAGCUCACACAAUAAUUAAUCCACCCUGGGGAGUACGCCCGCAAGGUUGUAAAUCAAAGGAAUGGACGGGGGCCCGCACAAGCAAGGGAGUAUGUUGUUUAAUUGGAAGCAGCGGGACGAACCCUGGUAAGUAUUUACAUCCCUCGACGAAGAGAGAAAUAAGUUUUCUUUUUGGAGCAAGGAGACAAGAGGGGCCAGGUUGUUGUUAGCUUGUGUUGUGGGGAGGUGGGGUAAGUUCCGCCACGAGGGCCACCCCUUCUUUCUGUUUGUUAGCAAGAAGAAUUUUGCUGGAGUGCCGUUGGCAAAAAGGAGGAAGGGGGGGGGGGAGGCAAAUUAUUAUUCCCCCUUUUAAUUGGGGUUCCCCCGUUAUUCAAAGGGGUGUUACAAAGAGAAGGAAGGCCGCGAGGGGGGGGAAAACUCAGAAACAAAGUCUCAGUUCGGAUUGCAGGCUGCAACUCGCCUGCACGAAGUUGGAAUUGCUAGUAAUCGUGGAUCAGCAUGCCGCGGUGAAUAAAAAGCCGGGCCUUGUACU